GCCGAAGUGGCGGAAUGGCAGACGCGGUCGACUCAAAAUCGGCUGGGGAAACCCGUGUGGGUUCGACUCCCACCUUCGGCACCA
rnacentral:tRNA from 3 species